rnacentral:other from 1 species
UAUCCCCUGCGAUGUGCGUGAUUAACAUUCGUUUUUUGAGCCAACACCUUGGAACCGGGGGCCUUUCCUUGUUAGCGGUGUGCAUGUCUGCCAGCAUCCCGUAAAGACGGGGGUGGAAAGCCUGAAGCAACAAUAGGGUGCCCACCUUAUCGGAAGGUUCAAAAAGGUGGUUAACACGGCAUAGGCGGGGGUUUA